GUUCCUCCGCAGUGCACAGACUAAAAUCAGAACAAUGCAGAGACGACCAGCAUGGCCCCUGCUCAAGGAUGCCACGCAAAUUCAUGCAGCGUCCCGCAUUUUA
rnacentral:snRNA from 1 species